UCUGAAUGGAAGGAAAACUGUAGUAUUUUUUCCUUUCAGUCUCAAUUUGUUCUCAGUUUAAUUUUCAAUGCAGUAAAUAUAAGUUGUUGGACUAACACAGGCCUUUGAUACCUCUGUCCACAGUGCUACCCAGAUGAAGAGAAGCUUUCUGUCUAAGCACCUUCUCUGAGAUUUUUCAAGUUUUGAAGCUCAAUCAGUGAAAAAAAUGAUCCUGCUCAGAUUCUCAGUUCCAAAAACUGCCAGCUGAAGAGUAACAGCUGUCUGCAACCAGAAGCUGGGAAAUUUUAAUGAACAUUUGAACUGAGAUACCCAUGGCUGGUGGCUUGGAGUUUGAGCUGGACUGCAUGAUCUUCUUUAUGAUUCAGCCCAACUCCCCUUAUCUGGCUGAGUGGUCCCACCUACCGGGAAAUUUCCACAGGGAUUCAUAUGAAUUUAUCGCAACUGAACCAAGUCCUGUCAUCAUCUGCUGCAAAAGGGCUGAUCAGGUAUGUCUUGCACAGGAUUGUGGUAUUUAUUUUACUUAUGUAAGCAUGGAAUAUGUCAACUAAAAGCAGCAAAGCAGCUCUUUACAUAAAAGAAGAGCUGCUUUUAGUUGACAUAUUCCAUACAUAAAUACAGGUCCAUGUUAUAUUAGUGGGUAGCUAAUACCAAGCUGGGGCCUGAACUCAAACACCAGCUCCAUAAUUGCGCUCUAAUCUACCAGAAAACCCAGAUGUAUAUACAAGUAAGACUGGUGAUUAUUCUAAAUUCCUUGUCUCUACUGUGAAACCUGACUUAGGCAUUCCAUUUGAGGGGUUUGAGCAGAGGAAGAACCUCUCUCAUCCCAGGUUAGCACUUGUGGGAAGCAGGAAAACCAUUCCAAACCUACAAGUUCUCUGCUGCAAGUGACCUCUCAGCUGCAUUCCAGUCCUCUGGGUGGCGCCACAUGAGUGACUCCACUCCUGCCUUAUGAUAUUCUUACUGGCAGAAAGGAAUCCCAAAGUGUGACUCCACUGUCAGUGGAAGCAUCCAGGGGACCAGGAGCCUCCUGAAGUAAACCACUACACAUCCCACCUGUCCAGUGCAGACCAGUCACUUAGAUGAGAAAUCCAGUUAGGAAAACUUCCUUUUGAAAGGCAAAGAUUGGAGAUGGCUUUGAGAAAUCUCAUGUGUCAAUCAAGUGCUUAGUGUUGUGUUCAAUAGCACACAGGUGACAUACCAACCUUGAGGAGAAAAUGACAACCAUGAAGAACUAAAAUCUGUUUAGGACUCUAAAUUCAGCUGUGUUCAUUCAGCUGGUUCUCUAAUACAGACAUUUAGUUUAUUUUUCGAUAAUAGGUAAUUCCAGAAGAGAGCAAAACUGAAAGACCCUUACUAUUAUUAUGACUUCUGUUAAUAGAGUGAAAAUUGCUUCCUGUAUAUUAGCAUUAUAAUACGAAAUACAAAUAUAUUUACAUUAUCACAACUAUUCUGCACAAUUUUUUAACACAUCCAUAUCUGUUAAUACUGAAAGAGCUGAAUAACUUACUGCCUAGCCAUUAAUGCUUUCAAAUAGCUUUUCUCAUUCUC
ensembl:lncRNA